ACAUGACGUAGCAACUAAGCAUAGAGAAGCACCAGUACAAUUUUUAUUUAAAGUAUCUUAAUAACUGCAUCAUUUCUGUUCAACCAGGUAGCCCCCCUGCUUGGCUGAGCAUCCAAAGAUUCACCUGGAACUGAUAAACCCCUAGUUUCGUAGUCUCCUCUCUCUCCCCCUUUCCACAAAGCUCUGCUCCAGCCCAUCAGAAGUGCUGCCUUCCCUGAACCAGCUGUGAACUUGGCUCCUUCUAUGUCUUCUGUCCCUGCUCCUCCUUCAAGAUCUGGAAGAACAGCUAUGGAAUCUCAACCAUCCUCCAGGAACCUCUAAAAACCCCACCCACGGUCCAGCCUGGAAAGGGUCAGCCAGUGGCUCCUGCAGGCCCUUCCUGGCUGUGACUGCCAUCUUGUGGACACAGAUAGUAACUGCACUGGGGCCAGCCUCAAACACGCACCUAAGGACCAAAAGACUUCAUGACAAACAAGGUCUUCACAAAAAUCUUUCUUAAAAAUACUCUGUAUUGACCUAUAUGAGAAAAGAGUCUUAAGAAGAGUGGAUAUAUGUAUAUGUAUAAACUGAUUCACUUUGCUACACACCUGAAACACAGCCGUGUAAAUCAACUAUACCCCAAUAAAAUUCUUUAAACAGUUUUUGAAGUUAAUAUAUCUUCUUUUGCAUAAGGUGGUCAACCUC
rnacentral:lncRNA from 1 species